CAGUCGCCGCGGUAAUACGAGGGGUGCAAGCGUUAUUCGGAUUGAUUGGGUGUAAAGGGUGUGCAGACGGCUUAUUAAGUCACUUGUUAAAUUCUUCGGCCUAACUGAAGGUCUGCAAGUGAUACUGAUGAGCUAGAGGGUGGAAGAGAGAAGUGGAAUUCUCGGAGUAGCGGUAAAAUGCGUAGAUCUCGAGAGGAACACCAAUGGCGAAGGCAGCUUCUUGGUCCAUUCCUGACGUUCAUACACGAAAGCGUGGGGAGCAAAUGGGAUUAGAUACCCCGGUAGUCCCUGUCUCUUAUAC
rnacentral:rRNA from 1 species